rnacentral:rRNA from 1 species
UACGUAGGUGACGAGCGUUGUCCGGAUUUACUGGGCGUAAAGAGCGCGCAGGCGGUCGUUCAAGUCGAGUGUGAAAGCCCCCGGCUCAACUGGGGAGGGUCACUCGAUACUGAUCGACUCGAAGGCAGGAGAGGGUAGUGGAAUUCCCGGUGUAGUGGUGAAAUGCGUAGAUAUCGGGAGGAACACCGGUGGCGAAGGCGGCUAUCUGGACCGACAUUGACGCUGAGGCGCGAAAGCGUGGGGAGCCAACAGG